rnacentral:rRNA from 1 species
ACAUGCAAGUCGAGCGGACCGACGGGAGCUUGCUCCCUUAGGUCAGCGGCGGACGGGUGAGUAACACGUGGGUAACCUGCCUGUAAGACUGGGAUAACUCCGGGAAACCGGGGCUAAUACCGGAUGCUUGAUUGAACCGCAUGGUUCAAUCAUAAAAGGUGGCUUUUAGCUACCACUUGCAGAUGGACCCGCGGCGCAUUAGCUAGUUGGUGAGGUAACGGCUCACCAAGGCGACGAUGCGUAGCCGACCUGAGAGGGUGAUCGGCCACACUGGGACUGAGACACGGCCCAGACUCCUACGGGAGGCAGCAGUAGGGAAUCUUCCGCAAUGGACGAAAGUCUGACGGAGCAACGCCGCGUGAGUGAUGAAGGUUUUCGGAUCGUAAAACUCCGUUGUUAGGGAAGAACAAGUACCGUUCGAAUAGGGCGGUACCUUGACGGUACCUAACCAGAAAGCCACGGCUAACUACGUGCCAGCAGCCGCGGUAAUACGUAGGUGGCAAGCGUUGUCCGGAAUUAUUGGGCGUAAAGCGCGCGCAGGCGGUUUCUUAAGUCUGAUGUGAAAGCCCCCGGCUCAACCGGGGAGGGUCAUUGGAAACUGGGGAACUUGAGUGCAGAAGAGGAGAGUGGAAUUCCACGUGUAGCGGUGAAAUGCGUAGAGAUGUGGAGGA